AAUAGCAUCCCGCAUCAGCCGUGAGGAGCGUGAGAUGAGUAGCCCCCGCCGCCACCCCUGCCCGGCGGCGGCGCCCCUGGAUGACGACGACCUGCUCUCCGAGAUCCUCCUCCGCCUACCCCCACUGCCAUCCUCCCUCCCCCGCGCCUCUCUCGUCUGCCGGCGCUGGCGCCUCCUCGUCUCCGACCCUCGCUUCGCCCGCCGCUUCCGCAUCCACCACCGCCGCAACCCUCCCCUCCUCGGCUUCCUUCACACAGGCUUUGACACAGCCUUUCGCGAGAUCUCCUUCGUGCCUACUCUGGAGCCCCCCAAUCGUGUCCCGUCGGGCACUUCUCUUUGAUGUUCGACGGCAGCAGCGGCGGCGGCCCCUUGGCGCUCCUUGGAUGCCGCCAUGGCCUGGUACUCGUCUACCACGCGUCUUGGAAACAGAUCCUGGUGUGGGAUCCUGUCACCGCCGACCAGCACCGGAUUGCCGUCCCCCCAGGGUUUGCGAGAGAUGAUGAGGGGCACACCCUGCUCAGUGGAGCGGUGCUUCGUACCGCCGGAGAUGCCCAACAUUUUCGUGUAGCCUUGACAGUGGUGGACGACGAGGACAAACAACACAGACGAGCUCUCGCAUGUGUGUACUCGUCAGAGACUGGAGUAUGGGGAUGUCGUCUCGACGCCGCUUCCAUGCGAGGCUUCUGCGGGCAGGAUGCUUAUUACAGAUAAGCCCGCUGUGCUGGUUCAGAAUUCUCUUUACUGGCUGCCUACUGGGAAUUUGGAUGUAUUUCUGGAGUUUGAUUUGGAGAGGCAGAUCCUAGCUGUGAUAUGGAUGCCAGUGGAUUUGGUUGCCAAGGGCUGUUACGAUAUCUGCGUGACGUGUGCAGAGGAUGGUGGUCUUGGUUUCUUCUGUGUGCUGCAGUUGGACUACAUUGCCCAAUUAUGGAAGAGGAAGACUGAUUAUCAUGGUGUUGCUUCAUGGGUGCUAGGAAGAACUAUUGAACUGGACAACCUAAUUCCCUCGAAUUUAGCGGGUAAAUUGCCCAUUGUGGUCCUGGGGUUUGCUGAGGACAAUAAUGGGGUGUGCCUGUGGAUAGGUGGCGUCUUCGCUAUAGUCCAUCUUGAGUCAUUGCAGUUCAAGGAACUCUUUAAAUCCAACCGCCUUUUUCAUUGUCACCCAUUCGAAAGUGUCUACACUGCAGAAGCAGACAUUGGUGGUGGACAUGAUGGGGCUGAUCUUUUGCAGAAUACAUAAGUCUGGAUAGAUAUGCUGUUGUGAUGUACUGGUUAAGCAGAUCUGGACUGGGCGGCCCCGGAUCCGCUCCCAAACGCAGCCGGAGAGCCACGCCGCACCGGAUCUCGCGGCACCGACACAAGGAACCCCGCCACCAGCACGUGUGCGCCGAUGCAAGGAGCCCUGCCGCUGCCAUCCCUGGGGCACGCGCGGCGUCACCGGCGUCCUCUCCAGUAGUGGCGAAGCAAAGGAGGGGGUGGGAUAGGGCCCGGUGGCAGCGCGAGUAGGGUUGCCCCCGGGUCUCCAGAGGAGGCGGCGACGCGGGGGGGGGGGGGCAUUUUUGUGAUUUUUAUGUUGUUUCCUUUAUGCAAGUAGUUUAUAACUGACAAUACAUACUUUAUUUAAAUGGGCUUAUGACUGCCAUUUCACAUUGCUCCUUUUUUUGGACCAUUAUGGUGCCUAGUGAACUAAUAAUUGCCAAUAUACUUGUAGAACAUGCUUUCUUUAAACUUUAUAUUACCGAUUAGUAUCUUUUUGCUUACAGCUAUUGCAGUUUUAUUUGAUGAUUAUUUUUGUGUUAGUCGUUUUGCUUAAAUGAUCAGCAUCUCUCACCAUCUAUCUAGUUUGCAAAUGUAAUAGGCCACUAUCCACUAACAUAUCUUGUCUGGUCCAAGGUAUAUGUAGCUAUGCUCCGUGGGCAGUGUAUGUUCUCCACUUUCUAUGACGUUAGAUGUUUAACACUUUAUAUUGAACACAUGAUCAAAAUGGCAUGACUAGAUUCUACCAUAAAUAUUGCUUUUCUCAUGAAUUGCAUUUUUAGCAGCAUGUUUAAAUAUUAGAGAUGGUAUAGAAAUAGUCAAAUCGUGGAGUGUAAAAAAAGAUGGCAUCUAUUUUGGGCCGAAGAAGGCGUGUCUAUUAGUAGGAUGAUGCAGGUCCCCUUACUUGAGGCUUACUGCAUAAGUUUAAUUAAAUUUGAUUUGUUAGCGACUGGCUAGCUCAUAUAUAUUUCGGAGAAGUAUGUCUAUAAGCUAGAGACGAAACGGUUCUGCUUUUCCUCUCCACCAACCCCUCAUAUGCCAUUAUAACAAGGUAUAUUUCAAAUGAUUCGAUAAGCUAGGAUGUCCAGUAUUUCCUCUAAUGGGGUUAUUUGAACCACUAAUCUGUAAGCCUUUAUUGAGACCAGAAUGCCAGAUGUAGCCAAAAACUUGAGAAUACGCGAACAAUAAGAAUUGAAGGCGUAGCAGUUAAUUUUUUUUAACUGUUCUCCUGUAGCUGCUCUCUAUUUGUAAUGCUGGUUCUGUCCAAUAAUGCUGAGAUGAUUCAGUUUCUGAACUUUUGGCACAAUUUCCUCAAUAGUACUUAGCGGCUUUUCCAUGAAUAAAUUGUACAAAUUGGUUUGACUGAUGAAAUUGGUUGCCCCGCG